rnacentral:rRNA from 1 species
ACGAACGCUGGCGGCGUGCCUAAUACAUGCAAGUAGAACGCUGAAGAGAGGAGCUUGCUCUUCUUGGAUGAGUUGCGAACGGGUGAGUAACGCGUAGGUAACCUGCCUUGUAGCGGGGGAUAACUAUUGGAAACGAUAGCUAAUACCGCAUAACAAUGGAUGACCCAUGUCAUUUAUUUGAAAGGGGCAAAUGCUCCACUACAAGAUGGACCUGCGUUGUAUUAGCUAGUAGGUGAGGUAACGGCUCACCUAGGCGACGAUACAUAGCCGACCUGAGAGGGUGAUCGGCCACACUGGGACUGAGACACGGCCCAGACUCCUACGGGAGGCAGCAGUAGGGAAUCUUCGGCAAUGGGGGCAACCCUGACCGAGCAACGCCGCGUGAGUGAAGAAGGUUUUCGGAUCGUAAAGCUCUGUUGUAAGUCAAGAACGAGUGUGAGAGUGGAAAGUUCACACUGUGACGGUAGCUUACCAGAAAGGGACGGCUAACUACGUGCCAGCAGCCGCGGUAAUACGUAGGUCCCGAGCGUUGUCCGGAUUUAUUGGGCGUAAAGCGAGCGCAGGCGGUUUGAUAAGUCUGAAGUUAAAGGCUGUGGCUCAACCAUAGUUCGCUUUGGAAACUGUCAAACUUGAGUGCAGAAGGGGAGAGUGGAAUUCCAUGUGUAGCGGUGAAAUGCGUAGAUAUAUGGAGGAACACCGGUGGCGAAAGCGGCUCUCUGGUCUGUAACUGACGCUGAGGCUCGAAAGCGUGGGGAGCGAACAGGAUUAGAUACCCUGGUAGUCCACGCCGUAAACGAUGAGUGCUAGGUGUUGGAUCCUUUCCGGGAUUCAGUGCCGCAGCUAACGCAUUAAGCACUCCGCCUGGGGAGUACGACCGCAAGGUUGAAACUCAAAGGAAUUGACGGGGGCCCGCACAAGCGGUGGAGCAUGUGGUUUAAUUCGAAGCAACGCGAAGAACCUUACCAGGUCUUGACAUCCCGAUGCUAUUUCUAGAGAUAGAAAGUUACUUCGGUACAUCGGUGACAGGUGGUGCAUGGUUGUCGUCAGCUCGUGUCGUGAGAUGUUGGGUUAAGUCCCGCAACGAGCGCAACCCCUAUUGUUAGUUGCCAUCAUUCAGUUGGGCACUCUAGCGAGACUGCCGGUAAUAAACCGGAGGAAGGUGGGGAUGACGUCAAAUCAUCAUGCCCCUUAUGACCUGGGCUACACACGUGCUACAAUGGUUGGUACAACGAGUUGCGAGUCGGUGACGGCAAGCUAAUCUCUGAAAGCCAAUCUCAGUUCGGAUUGUAGGCUGCAACUCGCCUACAUGAAGUCGGAAUCGCUAGUAAUCGCGGAUCAGCACGCCGCGGUGAAUACGUUCCCGGGCCUUGUACACACCGCCCGUCACACCACGAGAGUUUGUAACACCCGAAGUCGGUGAGGUAACCUUUUGGAGCCAGCCGCCUAAGGUGGGAUAGAUGAUUGGGGUG